GACAGAGGUCCCGAGCGUUAGGCGGAAUCACUGGGCUUAAAGCGUGUGUAGGCGGAUGCCUAAGUACCUUGUGAAAUCCCACGGCUCAACCGUGGAACUGCUCGGUAUACUGCUUUUCUUGAGCCACUUAGGGGCUACCGGAACAAAUGGUGGAGCGGUGAAAUGCGUAGAUAUCAUUUGGAACGCCAAUGGUGAAAACAGGUAGCUGGGAGUGUGCUGACGCUGAGACACGAAAGCCAGGGGAGCGAACGGG
rnacentral:rRNA from 1 species